rnacentral:rRNA from 1 species
AUAAUGGGUCAGCGACUUAUAUUCUGUAGCAAGGUUAACCGAAUAGGGGAGCCGAAGGGAAACCGAGUCUUAACUGGGCGUUAAGUUGCAGGGUAUAGACCCGAAACCCGGUGAUCUAGCCAUGGGCAGGUUGAAGGUUGGGUAACACUAACUGGAGGACCGAACCGACUAAUGUUGAAAAAUUAGCGGAUGACUUGUGGCUGGGGGUGAAAGGCCAAUCAAACCGGGAGAUAGCUGGUUCUCCCCGAAAGCUAUUUAGGUAGCGCCUCGUGAAUUCAUCUCCGGGGGUAGAGCACUGUUUCGGCAAGGGGGUCAUCCCGACUUACCAACCCGAUGCAAACUGCGAAUACCGGAGAAUGUUAUCACGGGAGACACACGGCGGGUGCUAACGUCCGUCGUGAAGAGGGAAACAACCCAGACCGCCAGCUAAGGUCCCAAAGUCAUGGUUAAGUGGGAAACGAUGUGGGAAGGCCCAGACAGCCAGGAUGUUGGCUUAGAAGCAGCCAUCAUUUAAAGAAAGCGUAAUAGCUCACUGGUCGAGUCGGCCUGCGCGGAAGAUGUAACGGGGCUAAACCAUGCACCGAAGCUGCGGCAGCGACGCUGAUGCGUUGUUGGGUAGGGGAGCGUUCUGUAAGCCUGUGAAGGUGUGCUGUGAGGCAUGCUGGAGGUAUCAGAAGUGCGAAUGCUGACAUAAGUAACGAUAAAGCGGGUGAAAAGCCCGCUCGCCGGAAGACCAAGGGUUCCUGUCCAACGUUAAUCGGGGCAGGGUGAGUCGACCCCUAAGGCGAGGCCGAAAGGCGUAGUCGAUGGGAAAC